CCCUGUCUCCCAACCCUUGUACCAGUGCUGUGCCUUAGACCCUGGUACAGGUCUGGGGGUCAGGG
rnacentral:pre_miRNA from 1 species